rnacentral:misc_RNA from 1 species
UACGGAGGGUGCAAGCGUUGUUCGGAAUUAUUGGGCGUAAAGCGCACGUUGGCGGCCGUUUAAGUCUCACUGUGAAAGCCCGCGGCUCAACCGCGGGAGGCCAGGGGAUACUGGACGGCUGGAGACAGGUAGAGGCGAGCGGAAUUCCGGGUGUAGCGGUGGAAUGCGUAGAGAUCCGGAAGAACACCAGAGGCGAAGGCGGCUCGCUGGACCUGUUCUGACGCUGAGGUGCGAAAGCGCGGGGAGCGAACAGG